rnacentral:rRNA from 1 species
UGCAAGUCGAACGGUAACAUUUCUAGCUUGCUAGAAGAUGACGAGUGGCGGACGGGUGAGUAAUGCUUGGGAACUUGCCUUUGCGAGGGGGAUAACAGUUGGAAACGACUGCUAAUACCGCAUAAUGUCUUCGGACCAAACGGGGCUCCGGCUCCGGCGCAAAGAGAGGCCCAAGUGAGAUUAGCUAGUUGGUAAGGUAACGGCUUACCAAGGCGACGAUCUCUAGCUGUUCUGAGAGGAAGAUCAGCCACACUGGGACUGAGACACGGCCCAGACUCCUACGGGAGGCAGCAGUGGGGAAUAUUGCACAAUGGGGGGAACCCUGAUGCAGCCAUGCCGCGUGUGUGAAGAAGGCCUUCGGGUUGUAAAGCACUUUCAGUUGUGAGGAAAAGUUAGUAGUUAAUACCUGCUAGCCGUGACGUUAACAACAGAAGAAGCACCGGCUAACUCCGUGCCAGCAGCCGCGGUAAUACGGAGGGUGCGAGCGUUAAUCGGAAUUAC